UAUUUUGUAUGUUUGAUGAUUUUGGGAGGAUAAUUGAUUCUAGUUGAGUAUGAACAAACUAAAUGUGCUUGAUGGCUCAAAUGAGCUUGGAAAGUUGGCCAAUGUUGUUUAAGUUCAUGAAUUAGGGCAUAAUUUCAUUCGGCCAUGGAAAUUGAGCAUGGAAAAAAAAAAUCUGGUGUGGAUAUAUGAAGCUGAAAAUUUAGUUUGAAG
rnacentral:lncRNA from 1 species